AUUGAACGCUGGCGGCAUGCUUUACACAUGCAAGUCGAACGGCAGCGGGGUAGUGCUUGCACUACUGCCGGCGAGUGGCGAACGGGUGAGUAAUAUAUCGGAACGUACCGAGUAAUGGGGGAUAACCAAUCGAAAGAUUGGCUAAUACCGCAUACGUCCUGAGGGAGAAAGCGGGGGAUCGCAAGACCUCGCGUUAUUCGAGCGGCCGAUAACUGAUUAGCUAGUUGGUGGGGUAAAGGCCUACCAAGGCGACGAUCAGUAGCGGGUCUGAGAGGACGAUCCGCCACACUGGGACUGAGACACGGACCAGACUCCUACGGGAGGCAGCAGUGGGGAAUUUUGGACAAUGGGGGCAACCCUGAUCCAGCCAUGCCGCGUGUAUGAAGAAGGCCUUCGGGUUGUAAAGUACUUUUGUUAGGGAAGAAAAGGGAAGUGCUAAUACCACUUUUUGCUGACGGUACCUAAAGAAUAAGCACCGGCUAACUACGUG
rnacentral:rRNA from 1 species